GGCAAACAAUCUUAAGGUGUGCAGCCGGUCUGAUGGAGAACUGAAGUGUCCGUGUGAGCUGCAGAGUGUGCGGGACAGGGGAGCAGAGAGGGAGAGACAGUCGAGCAGCAGCGGAGAACCAGCACACAAGGUGUAAUGUCUCGUUUUGGAGCGAUGCUCUUCAGAUACUUCAUCACCGGCCUUCUCAGAUUCCCUGCAGACGCUGGCUGACCCCAGAGACUGACCUCACCAAUCACAGAUCAAAGUCGCCUGGUUUCCGGCUGGUCAGGUUAAUCAGAGGACCACCCCGAAGAACCAAUCAGGGACAGGACUUUGUAAGGCAACUGGCUUCAACGUCGGGGGCCAAUCAGGAACAGAUGGAAGAGGUGAUGACCCCCCCUGGCAGGCGAGAGAAACAGCGCAAAUGCCACUCAAAAUCCCAGCGUGUGGACGUGUAUCAGUUGUCAGGGCCGUGGGCAGGACAGCGCGGCGAGGGGCGAAGCACGGCGUCUGCCUUCUGGGCUUCGCCUCGAAUGACACACACAUCCCCUGCCAUUCCUGACUAACACAUCAGCAUGCAGCCAGCCUAUCAGUCACCUCUGUCAACUCUCCCAUUCCUGUCUCCAGCUGUCGUUGCUUGUCGCAGCGGAGGCGAUGAUACGUGAGCAACAUUUUAAGGUAAUGCAGCUCAGCUUUGCUGCCUGCGUUCAUGCCAGUGGUAUCUGAGGGGAUUUCUAGAAAUGACACACGUGUCAGUUUGAGUAAAAGCUGGGAGAUGAAAUGUAUGUUUAAGUAUUAGUCAGACUUUAUUUGUUUUAUUUUUAUUUAUACAAUUCUUUGAAACUAAUGUCUUAUUAGUUCAUAAUUGUUUGUUCUUUGUUGAUCAUGUUCCUUACCCAUUCUGAACUUCUUUACAAAAAAUAAAUGUAUAAAUAAACUGAUCUUAUUAAUUUAAUGUGAUAUUAAGAGUCUACAUAAAACAUUAUAUAUAUCACAACAUUA